rnacentral:rRNA from 1 species
GAUGAACGCUGGCGGCGUGCCUAAUACAUGCAAGUCGAGCGAACAGAUAAGGAGCUUGCUCCUUUGACGUUAGCGGCGGACGGGUGAGUAACACGUGGGUAACCUACCUAUAAGACUGGAAUAACUCCGGGAAACCGGGGCUAAUGCCGGAUAACAUUUAGAACCGCAUGGUUCUAAAGUGAAAGAUGGUUUUGCUAUCACUUAUAGAUGGACCCGCGCCGUAUUAGCUAGUUGGUAAGGUAACGGCUUACCAAGGCAACGAUACGUAGCCGACCUGAGAGGGUGAUCGGCCACACUGGAACUGAGACACGGUCCAGACUCCUACGGGAGGCAGCAGUAGGGAAUCUUCCGCAAUGAGCGAAAGCCUGACGGAGCAACGCCGCGUGAGUGAUGAAGGUCUUCGGAUCGUAAAACUCUGUUAUUAGGGAAGAACAAAUGUGUAAGUAACUGUGCACGUCUUGACGGUACCUAAUCAGAAAGCCACGGCUAACUACGUG